rnacentral:rRNA from 1 species
GUAGUCAUAUGCUUGUCUCGAAGAUUAAGCCAUGCAUGUCUAAGUAUAAGCAAUUAUACCGCGAAACUGCGAAUGGCUCAUUAAAUCAGUUAUCGUUUAUUUGAUAGUACCUUACUACAUGGAUAACCGUGGUAAUUCUAGAGCUAAUACAUGCUAAAAAUCCCGACUUCGGAAGGGAUGUAUUUAUUAGAUUAAAAACCAAUGCCCUUCGGGGCUCUCUGGUGGUUCAUAAUAACUUCUCGAAUCGCACGGCCUUGCGCCGGCGAUGGUUCAUUCAAAUUUCUGCCCUAUCAACUUUCGACGGCUGGGUCUUGGCCAGCCGUGGUGACAACGGGUAACGGAGGGUUAGGGCUCGACCCCGGAGAAGGAGCCUGAGAAACGGCUACUACAUCCAAGGAAGGCAGCAGGCGCGCAAAUUACCCAAUCCCGACACGGGGAGGUAGUGACAAUAAAUACUGAUACAGGGCUCUUUCGGGUCUUGUAAUUGGAAUGAGUACAAUUUAAAUCCCUUAACGAGGAACAAUUGGAGGGCAAGUCUGGUGCCAGCAGCC